CUGUUAGAGUCGGGUCUUUGUUCUUAGAGCUCCCAAGAUGGUGGCGGCCUGCUCCCAAGGUGGCAGCAAGACUUUUGUUCUCUGACCUGGGGUUCUUGGCCUCAUGGAUUCCACGGAAUGGAACCUUGGGCCGUGCGAUUAGUGGUGUGAUUACUGUCUCCUGACUGGACCCUGACUGCUGUAGAAUUGGUAACUGAAAGUGUCACAGAAGACAGAUUCUAAAAGUGCCAGCCCUGCACCCCACUCCUGCCCCUGCUUGGUGCUUGAUGACCCUGUGUCUGGCUUCUCUGGGGAGAACUGACUGUGUCUUUUUCACUUCCCUUUCUCCAGGCUCUCAGGAGGACAGGCAAGGGUGCAGCUUUUCGAGAAUGCGUCAGUAAGGGCCACUAAAUCCGACCUUCCUCAGUCCUCCUUGUGGUCUACAAGGAAAACUAGUGUUUCUGCUGCUGUGUUGGAUUGAGGAUAUCAAGCUACAGAUGAUCUUACAAAUGGAAACCCAAAUGAGCUCAACUAACAACUACCAAGGACACCUGGACCAACCCGCUGGCCCUUUCAAUGGCCUAAAGAGUUCCCCUCUGGAGGACAUUACAACUGCCAGGUCCCUUCUUUGCCCCUAUCCAGCAGGAAGUAGCUAGAGUGGUCAUCGCCCAAUUCCCAACAGCAGCUGGGGUGUCUUGUUAAGUGGGGAGAUUGAGAGGUGAAGCUAGCUGGGCUUCUGGGUUGGGUGGGGACUUGGAGAACUUUUCUGUCUAGCUAGAGGAUUGUAAACACACCAAUCAGUGCUCUGUGUCUAGCUAAAGGUUUGUGAAUGCACCAAUCAGCACUCUGUAAAAAUGGACCAGUCAGCACUCUGUAAAAUGGACCAAUCAGUAGGAUGUGGGCGGGUCCAAAUAAGGGAAUAAAAGCUGGUCACCUGAGUCAGCAGUGGCAACCCGCUCGGGUCCCCUUCCAUGCUGUGGAAGCUUUGUUCUUUUGCUCUUCACAAUAAAUCUUGCUGCUUCUCACUUUUUGGGUCCACACCACCUUUAUGAGCUGUAACACUCACUGUGAAGGUCUGCGGCUUCACUGCUGAAGUCAGCGAGACCAUGAACCCACGGGGAGGAACAAUCAACUCCGGACAUGCAACCUUUAAGAGCUGUAACACUCACUGCAAAGGUCUGUGGCUUCGCUCCUGAAGUCAGCAAGACCACGAACCCACCGGAAGGAAGAAAUUUUGGACACAUCGGAACAUCUGAAGGAACAAACUCUGGACACGCCAUCUUUAAGAACUGUAACACUCACCAUGAGGUUUCACGGGUUCAUUCUUGAAGUCAGCGAGACCAAGAACCCACCAGAAGGAACGAAUUCUGGACACAGACUCACUGCAACCUCCACCUCCUGGAUUCAAGUGACUCUCCUGCCUUAGCCUCCUGAAUAGCUGUGCCUACAGGCACAAGCCACCAUGCAUGGCUAAUUUUUUGUAUUUUUAGUAGAGAUGGGGUUUCACCAUGUUGCCCAGUCUGGUCUCUGACUCCUGAGCUCAAGUGAUCCACCUGCCUCAACCUCCUGAAGUGUUGGGAUACAGGUCUGAGGCACUGUGCCCGGCCUCCCCUGGAUUAGUUCUUACAGGAAUAAAUUAGUUCUUUGCCAGACCAGGUUGUUAUAAAAGUGAGAUUGCCUCUAGUGUUUUGCAUCCUCACAUAUGUCUGCUUACCUCUUGACCUCUCUCUAUGUUAUGACCCAGCACAAAAGCCCUCACCAGAAGCCAAGCAGAUGCUGAUGCCACACCCCUUGGACUUCUCAGUCUACAGAGCCAUGAAACAAAUAAACCUUUCUUUAUAAAUUA